rnacentral:rRNA from 1 species
UACGUAGGGGGCAAGCGUUGUCCGGAAUCAUUGGGCGUAAAGAGCUUGUAGGCGGUUUGUCGCGUCUGCCGUGAAAAUCCGGGGCUCAACCCCGGACUUGCGGUGGGUACGGGCAGACUAGAGUGUGGUAGGGGAGACUGGAAUUCCUGGUGUAGCGGUGAAAUGCGCAGAUAUCAGGAGGAACACCGAUGGCGAAGGCAGGUCUCUGGGCCACUACUGACGCUGAGAAGCGAAAGCGUGGGGAGCGAACAGG